GGGUUGUGAGGUUAAGCGACUAAGCGUACACGGUGGAUGCCCUGGCAGUCAGAGGCGAUGAAGGACGUGCUAAUCUGCGAAAAGCGUCGGUAAGGUGAUAUGAACCGUUAUAACCGGCGAUGUCCGAAUGGGGAAACCCAGUGCAAUUCGUUGCACUAUCGUUAACUGAAUACAUAGGUUAACGAGGCGAACCGGGGGAACUGAAACAUCUAAGUACCCCGAGGAAAAGAAAUCAACCGAGAUUCCCCCAGUAGCGGCGAGCGAACGGGGAGCAGCCCAGAGUCUGAAUCAGCUUGUGUGUUAGUGGAACGGUCUGGAAAGUCCGACGGUACAGGGUGAUAGUCCCGUACACCAAAAUGCACAGGUUGUGAACUCGAAGAGUAGGGCGGGACACGUGGUAUCCUGUCUGAAUAUGGGGGGACCAUCCUCCAAGGCUAAAUACUCCUGACUGACCGAUAGUGAACCAGUACCGUGAGGGAAAGGCGAAAAGAACCCCGGCGAGGGGAGUGAAAAAGAACCUGAAACCGUGUACGUACAAGCAGUGGGAGCACCUUCGGGUGUGACUGCGUACCUUUUGUAUAAUGGGUCAGCGACUUAUAUUCUGUAGCAAGGUUAACCGUAUAGGGGAGCCGCAGGGAAACCGAGUCUUAACUGGGCGUUAAGUUGCAGGGUAUAGACCCGAAACCCGGUGAUCUAGCCAUGGGCAGGUUGAAGGUUGGGUAACACUAACUGGAGGACCGAACCGACUAAUGUUGAAAAAUUAGCGGAUGACUUGUGGCUGGGGGUGAAAGGCCAAUCAAACCGGGAGAUAGCUGGUUCUCCCCGAAAGCUAUUUAGGUAGCGCCUCGUGAAUUCAUCUUCGGGGGUAGAGCACUGUUUCGGCUAGGGGGUCAUCCCGACUUACCAACCCGAUGCAAACUACGAAUACCGAAGAAUGUUAUCACGGGAGACACACGGCGGGUGCUAACGUCCGUCGUGAAGAGGGAAACAACCCAGACCGCCAGCUAAGGUCCCAAAGUCAUGGUUAAGUGGGAAACGAUGUGGGAAGGCACAGACAGCCAGGAUGUUGGCUUAGAAGCAGCCAUCAUUUAAAGAAAGCGUAAUAGCUCACUGGUCGAGUCGGCCUGCGCGGAAGAUGUAACGGGGCUAAACCAUGCACCGAAGCUGCGGCAGCGACACUAUGUGUUGUUGGGUAGGGGAGCGUUCUGUAAGCCUGCGAAGGUGACCUGUGAGGCAUGCUGGAGGUAUCAGAAGUGCGAAUGCUGACAUAAGUAACGAUAAAGCGGGUGAAAAGCCCGCUCGCCGGAAGACCAAGGGUUCCUGUCCAACGUUAAUCGGGGCAGGGUGAGUCGACCCCUAAGGCGAGGCCGAAAGGCGUAGUCGAUGGGAAACAGGUUAAUAUUCCUGUACUUGGUGUUACUGCGAAGGGGGGACGGAGAAGGCUAUGUUAGCCGGGCGACGGUUGUCCCGGUUUAAGCAUGUAGGCUGGUUGUCCAGGCAAAUCCGGAUAAUCAAGGCUGAGGUGUGAUGACGAGGUACUACGGUGCUGAAGUAACAAAUGCCCUGCUUCCAGGAAAAGCCUCUAAGCAUCAGGUAACAUUAAAUCGUACCCCAAACCGACACAGGUGGUCAGGUAGAGAAUACCAAGGCGCUUGAGAGAACUCGGGUGAAGGAACUAGGCAAAAUGGUGCCGUAACUUCGGGAGAAGGCACGCUGGUGUGUAGGUGAAGCCCCUGCGGGUGGAGCUGAGACCAGUCGAAGAUACCAGCUGGCUGCAACUGUUUAUUAAAAACACAGCACUGUGCAAACACGAAAGUGGACGUAUACGGUGUGACGCCUGCCCGGUGCCGGAAGGUUAAUUGAUGGGGUUAUCCGUAAGGAGAAGCUCUUGAUCGAAGCCCCGGUAAACGGCGGCCGUAACUAUAACGGUCCUAAGGUAGCGAAAUUCCUUGUCGGGUAAGUUCCGACCUGCACGAAUGGCGUAAUGAUGGCCAGGCUGUCUCCACCCGAGACUCAGUGAAAUUGAACUCGCUGUGAAGAUGCAGUGUACCCGCGGCAAGACGGAAAGACCCCGUGAACCUUUACUAUAGCUUGACACUGAACAUUGAGCCUUGAUGUGUAGGAUAGGUGGGAGGCUUUGAAGCGUGGACGCCAGUCUGCGUGGAGCCAACCUUGAAAUACCACCCUUUAAUGUUUGAUGUUCUAACGUUGGCCCCUUACCGGGGUUGCGGACAGUGUCUGGUGGGUAGUUUGACUGGGGCGGUCUCCUCCCAAAGCGUAACGGAGGAGCACGAAGGUUAGCUAAUCCUGGUCGGACAUCAGGAGGUUAGUGCAAUGGCAUAAGCUAGCUUGACUGCGAGCGUGACGGCGCGAGCAGGUGCGAAAGCAGGUCAUAGUGAUCCGGUGGUUCUGAAUGGAAGGGCCAUCGCUCAACGGAUAAAAGGUACUCCGGGGAUAACAGGCUGAUACCGCCCAAGAGUUCAUAUCGACGGCGGUGUUUGGCACCUCGAUGUCGGCUCAUCACAUCCUGGGGCUGAAGUAGGUCCCAAGGGUAUGGCUGUUCGCCAUUUAAAGUGGUACGCGAGCUGGGUUUAGAACGUCGUGAGACAGUUCGGUCCCUAUCUGCCGUGGGCGCUGGAGAAUUGAGGGGGGCUGCUCCUAGUACGAGAGGACCGGAGUGGACGCAUCACUGGUGUUCGGGUUGUCAUGCCAAUGGCACUGCCCGGUAGCUAAAUGCGGAAGAGAUAAGUGCUGAAAGCAUCUAAGCACGAAACUUGCCCCGAGAUGAGUUCUCCCUGAGACUUUAAGUCUCCUGAAGGAACGUUGAAGACGACGACGUUGAUAGGCCGGGUGUGUAAGCGCAGCGAUGCGUUGAGCUAACCGGUACUAAUGAACCGUGAGGCUUAACCUUACAACGCCGAAG
rnacentral:rRNA from 1 species